CUUGAACGCUGGCGGCAGGCCUAACACAUGCAAGUCGAGCGAGCGGCGGACGGGUUCCUAAUGUAUGGGGACUGACCGAUAGAGGGGGUUAACUCCUGGAAACGGAUGCUAAUACCGCAUAAUAUCGGAUAACCCCUAUGGGAUUAGGUAGUAGGAGGGGUAAAGGCUCACCUAGGCGACGAUCUGUAGCUGGUCUGAGAGGAUGCUCAGACACACUGGAACUGAGACACGGUCCAGACGCCGACGGAGGCAGCAGGGGGGAAUAUUGCACAAUGGGCGCAAGCCGGAUGCAGCCAUGCCGCGUGUAUGAAGAAGGGCUUAGGGUUGUAAAGUACUUUCAGCGGGGAGGCGUUACCCGCAGAAGAAGCACCGGCUAACUCCGUGCCAGCAGCAGCGGUAAUAC
rnacentral:rRNA from 1 species